rnacentral:rRNA from 1 species
CAAGUCGAACGAAGGCUUCGGCCUUAGUGGCGCACGGGUGAGUAACACGUGGGAACCUGCCUCUUUGUUCGGAAUAACAUCGGGAAACUGGUGCUAAUACCGGAUACGCCCUACGGGGGAAAGAUUUAUCGCAGAGAGAGGGGCCCGCGUCCGAUUAGGUAGUUGGUGGGGUAACGGCCUACCAAGCCGACGAUCGGUAGCUGGUCUGAGAGGAUGAUCAGCCACACUGGGACUGAGACACGGCCCAGACUCCUACGGGAGGCAGCAGUGGGGAAUAUUGGACAAUGGGCGCAAGCCUGAUCCAGCAAUGCCGCGUGAAUGAUGAAGGCCUUAGGGUUGUAAAGUUCUUUCGUCGGGGACGAUGAUGACGGUACCCGAAGAAGAAGCCCCGGCUAACUUCGUGCCAGCAGCCGCGGU